AUGGAUAGGAGAGGGGCAGCAGGAAAAAAGAGAGAAUCUCAAGCAGACUCCCCACUGAGUGUGGAGCUUAACAUGGAGCUUGAUCUCAAGACCUAUGAGAUGAUCUGGGCCAAAACCAAGUGCCAGACACUUAACCAACUGAACCAUCCAAGAGCCCCCAGUAUUCAAUAUUUUUUUAAACCACUGUUAAUUCUGGAAAAAUAUUUGUUAUACCCCCCAAUCCUGCAUAGUAAAAAACAUAUGUAGCAGUUCAAGAUGUCAAGAUGUAUGUACUUACACUACAUUAUCCAGAGGAAUCAAGAUCUGAUCUGAAUCAAUAGUUUAUUAAGUUUAUGCCAGAAAAACCUACAAUUCCUAGGAAUGAAAUAUUUAUCCCCUUCCUAGAAACUUGCCCCAGUUCAAGAGAAAGUUCUUCCUCGACAUAUGAAAGAAGCUGACAGAUAGACUCUGGAGUGAAAUAGGACAGUAUUUGAACCUCAUCCAUAGGAAUCUCUGCAAGGAGAGAGCUUCUAUUCCACUCUUUAGGGAGCAUCUGCUUUAAUCAGACAGAAGCAGACCCCAGCAGGACCAAUCUCCAGAGAUCACUCAUCAGGAACCAGAGUGGGCAAUCUAACUAUGCCCUACCUAUAGCAGUCAAUACAUACUGCAUCUGUUAAAGACCCCAUGUCUCUGGCGAAAAUAUGGGCAGAGUGGAUUUGAGUUGCUGCUAGUCAAUACAUAGAACGUUGAAACCUUGCCUACACCAGGUAGACCUCAAUGUACAUACAAACCUGUGAAGAUGUAGAAAUAAAUCAAAAGGAACUAAGUGGGGUGUGUGUGUGUGUGUGUGCAUGCAUGUGUGUUCAAAUGAUUUUCAGUCAUAAAAUUAGAUAAUAUUUAACAGUGAAGGGUCCAGAAGUCAACCACUUUAUAACAUUUAAUAUUAAUCAAUCCAUAAAUAUACAUAAUUAAUCCUGUGCUAGAUGUUGGAACUAUGACGAUGGGUAAGACUUAUUCUUUGCCCUCACAGAACACAAGCUCUGAUGGUUUCAUAGAGUAAUUAAUAUUCAGUUGAAACAUAAAUGUUAUUACUAUGAGAGCCAAAGGACAAAGUAAUCACCUCUGACUUGGGGGGAUUGACAAAGACUUCUAAAGGGAAUGACAUCAAUACUCUACCAUUUCUCAGCUGAGUGGCCUUCGUUAUUCAUCCUCUCUGACACUUGGGUGCCCCUGUGUAUAUAACUGAUAGCAAAGAUACUAUCUCAUAAGGCUAUGUAAGUAUUAAAUAAGUUAAUACAUCAAAGCAUUUAACAUGGCUCCCAGCAUUGAUUAAUCCCUUAAUAAAUAUUAGCUAUUAUCUUAAUUAUAAUUAUUAAUAUUAUUAUACACUAAUGCAUUACUAUAUAGUGGUAUGUUUUGAGAUAGAAGUGGAAAGGUAAUUUAGGACUACUUACUUUAAGUUAAUGCUUGGCUUAGAAUUACCUUGUAGUCCUAUGAUUUCUAAACUGUGGUUAAUGGAACACUACGUUAUUUUAGAGGUGUAAAUUGAUGGGCUAUCAGAAAAAUGAAAAACAACAAAGAUAUGGACACAAAUAUCUAUGUUCACAUUACUAUGGGAUAUGAUGCAAACUCUAGCUUUCCCUUGGACAGCCAUGUGAAUAACCCAUGGAGUGUCAGUACAUUUCACUUAUUUGACCAUGGAACUUUUUUAUAAAGCAUCUAUUAUGAUAUCUGCUAUUUCUGCAGAAUAUUCUAUGGAAAACAUUUCUGUAAAUAAUGAAGAUUGCUUGAAAGUAUUUGACAGAAGCUCUGCCUUUUCAAAUGUUUAACUUCAAGUCAAUUUAUAGUUUACCUAUAUAAUAUACCUAUAUAAUUUAUAGGUUACAGUGUAAAUGACUGAAAACAUGAAAUCAUUAAGAAGCUAAUGUUUUAUCUGAGGUGAAAGAUGAUAACAGACAUAAGUAAUUGGUAAAACAAUGUGAAAAAGAAAACUAACAAUACUAAAACCUUAGCAUUAAUGAAAUAUUUCUCAGAUACUUACUAUGAGCCAAGGAUUAAGUACUAGCUAUGUGGUUUAUUUCAUUUCAACCCUAUGAGGUAUUAUUGCUAUCCCCAUGACAGAUGGAAGAAAUGAGAACUAAAAAUAUUAAAUAUGUUUCACACAUUCACACAGCUAGAAAAUAAUAGGGACAUGACUUUAAUCCUGACAAGACUCCAAAUAUUAUCCACAUAACUAUUUAGUGGUAUAAUAAUCAAUAUUGGUAACAAUCAUUAACUUCUUGAGGAACAGGACAAAGAAGAAGAGGUUGAGUAACUCCCCAGGGUUUCCAGCUCAGCGACGUUGAUGCAAUCAGCAUAAUCUAGUUCCUAAGAAAAGGAAUUGAACAGGAAGAAAAGCUAGCCUCAAUGGGAGCUCCAUUUCCUGGAGGAGAUAUCCAGUUGAUAGAUAUAUUUAUCAAAAAAGAGUUCUAGGAUGAAGAGAGGGAUGUUGAAUUCAUUUGUGUAGUUGAAGAAAUGAGUAUAUAGGCUCUCUUCUGAAAAAGCAUGAAAGAAUGACAGGCAAGACUAAACUCCAAGAGAUUAUUACUUUAAUGUUGCUAAACUGGCCAGGAAUAAUGUGCUAUAAUUCCUAAUACUGAGAAGGGUCAGAGACCAGUUUAGAAAAGAAAAUCAAAAGUGCCCUGUUUCCUCUUACCCUAGUCUAUUCCCUGGUCUCUGUGUUACAACAAAGGUGUAAGUAAGAUGCUCCACAACCCGCAGCUUAUUUGCCUCCCUGACACCAACUGCCUUUGUGAGGAACUGAUUUACUCACCACUGGUUUGUGACUAAUUCAGCUGAUCAUUUGAGUGCAUAAUAGAAAUGCAUGUUCUAACAUCAGGAGGUAAUUGUGCUCUCAUUCAUUUUUCAAAAUUUAUCAUGUGCCAGGCAUUUUAUAAUGCACUGAAGUACAAAUAUGAAGGAUACUCACUCUUCUGAUUUCAAGGAGUUAAUAGUCAACUAGGGGUACAAAUAAACAACUCGUUAUAAUUCACUAUAUACAUUUUGGGAUUUGUAUAAGGUGCAAUCAGUAUACAAAGAUACUAACCUUGGAUUGCUUGGAAAAAUCACAAAAAGAGUUUUCAGGGAAGCUAGUUCUUUAAUUUAAAAUUUGAAGAAUGAACAGUUUUUCAGAGGGCUGAAGGGCAUGCAUGACUGUUUUCAAAAACACUUGCUAUUGUAAAAGUGAGGAGAGAGCUACUUGAGUCUGUAUAAAAAAUCAAUGUACAUUUAAAGAUUUUUUUAAAAUAACUGGAACCCCUUCAAAUGUUAAAUAUAAAAUUAUUCUCAUCCUUGUAUUUAUAACCUGCUUUCUGGUGUGUUUAGUUCUCUGUGUUUCUGGAGUAUGUCUGGUCUACUGAAGGUAUCAAUAUUCACAUCAGAGGCAUGUAUACUUAGUUAUUAUUUCUGGGUUAUAGAGAGGGAUAUGAGAAAAGAAGAUACAGAAAACAAACAAACAGGAGAAGGAGGCAAAGAUGUAGAGUCAGAAGGGGAAAAAAAGAAAAGUUGGAGGAGGAUGACAACAAAGAAGGAAAAGAAAAAGGAAGAGAACUAAAAAGCCCUCUCUGUCCAAAAAAUUUCUAUAUUCCAUGCCUUGUUUCCUUGAUAAAGCUUGGA
rnacentral:lncRNA from 1 species